rnacentral:rRNA from 1 species
GGACCUGACUGCUAUCGGAUUGAUACUAAGCCAUGCGAGUCAUUGUAGCAAUACAAGGCAGACGGCUCAGUAACGCGUAGUCAACCUACCCUAUGGACGGGAAUAACCUCGGGAAACUGAGUAUAAUGCCCGAUAGAACAUUAUACCUGGAAUGGUUUAUGUUCCAAAUGAUUUAUCGCCGUAGGAUGGGACUGCGGCCUAUCAAUUUGUUGGUGAGGUAAUGGCCCACCAAGACUAUUACAGGUACGGGCUCUGAGAGGAGUGGCCCGGAGAUGGGUACUGAGACACGGACCCAGGCCCUAUGGGGCGCAGCAGGCGAGAAAACUUUGCAAUGUGCGAAAGCACGACAAGGUUAAUCCGAGUGGUUUCUGCUAAAGGAACCUUUUGUCAGUCCUAGAAACACUGAUGAAUAAGGGGUGGGCAAGUUCUGGUGU